UCUAUGCAAAGUGUAGGUUUCUGGCUGGG
rnacentral:piRNA from 1 species